GCGUGGGGAGCAAAUAGGAUUAGAUACCCUAGUAGUCCACGCCGUAAACGAUGAGUACUAAGUGUUGGAUGUCAAAGUUCAGUGCUGCAGUUAACGCAAUAAGUACUCCGCCUGAGUAGUACGUUCGCAAGAAUGAAACUCAAAGGAAUUGACGGGGGCCCGCACAAGCGGUGGAGCAUGUGGUUUAAUUCGAAGCAACGCGAAGAACCUUACCAGGUCUUGACAUCCCGAUGACCGGUUCGUAAUGGAACCUUCUCUUCGGAGCAUUGGAGACAGGUGGUGCAUGGUUGUCGUCAGCUCGUGUCGUGAGAUGUUGGGUUAAGUCCCGCAACGAGCGCAACCCUUAUCGUUAGUUACCAUCAUUAAGUUGGGGACUCUAGCGAGACUGCCAGUGACAAGCUGGAGGAAGGCGGGGAUGACGUCAAAUCAUCAUGCCCCUUAUGACCUGGGCUACACACGUGCUACAAUGGAUGGUGCAGAGGGAAGCGAAGCCGCGAGGUGAAGCAAAACCCAUAAAACCAUUCUCAGUUCGGAUUGUAGUCUGCAACUCGACUACAUGAAGUUGGAAUCGCUAGUAAUCGCGAAUCAGCAUGUCGCGGUGAAUACGUUCUCGGGCCUUGUACACACCGCCCGUCACACCAUGAGAGUUGAUAACACCCGAAGCCGGUGGCCUAACCGCAAGGAGGGAGCUGUCUAAGGUGGGAUUGAUGAUUGGGGUGAAGUCGUAACAAGGUAUCCCUACGGGAACGUGGGGAUG
rnacentral:rRNA from 1 species